UUUGGCUGUGCGGUGAAGAGAGAUGGAGUUUGUUGGCUGCGAGGAAGAAGGAGUCAGUGCUGCAAGGAGCUGUCCGUGAGAAAUCACUGAGAAGCACCUGCUAGGUCUGCCCCAGGGCUGAUGGCUGUGUUCAGACCCCAGCAACAAACUCUGAAGAGAAAUUGUGUCCAUCCAAGCAGUUCCCAGCUGCAGGGAGAUGCUGUGCUAACUGUGUGACAUGGGCUGGUGACAGAUGCUGCCACACUUCACUGGAG